GGACCUCCUGUCGUAAAAUAACACACAAAUGGUUACUAUGCUGCCUGGCCUGGGUGGCAGUUCCAGUCAGUGCUUCUCCUAACAUUUAUGUCGUUGAUCUCCAGCCUUGAGUCCAUGUCUGUGUACUAUCUGCCUUCCUGAUUCCUCCUCUUGGGAAGCUUAUAGGGAUCUCAGGUACAACCUGAUCAAAACACAGCCCUCCUUUCCAGACCCUCCCCCAAACGUGCUCAACGCUCAAACCCCCAAGGCCCUCCAGUCUCAACGGCUUCUUAGAUAUGACCCCUGAAGCACAUGCAGCAAAAGAAAAAAGAGAUAAAUUUGAUUUCAUCAAAAUGGAAAACUUUGGUGCCUCAAAGUACACUAUAAAGUCAAAAGACAGCUUAUAGAAUAGGAGGAAAAAGUUUGCAAAUCAUAUUAGCAUCUAGUAUCCAGAAUAUAUAAGUCUUACAACUCAACAAUAAAAAAGAGCCUAAUUUAAAAAGGAACAAAGGGGACUUCCCUGAUGGUCCAGUGAUUAAGAAUCGGAAUACAGGGAACUAGAGUCUGAUCCCUGGUCGGGGAACUAAGAUCCCUCUUGCCACAGAGCUACUAAGGCCUCACCCUGCAGCUACUGAGCCUAUGCAUUCUGGAGCCGGCAGGCCACAACAAAAAAGGGAAUCCGUGACCGAGAAACAAAAGGCGGAGCCCGUGACCAAAACAAAAGGCGGAGUCCGUGACCGAAACAAAAGAUCCCACAGGACACAUCGGAGACCUCAAGUGCUGCAACUAAGAUCCAAUGCAGUCAAAAAGCAUGCUCUGAAUUGCCAUCGGAUGAAGCCUGCGCUCUUCAGCGUGCUCUGUGAGAUCAAGGAAAAGACAGUGUCGAGCAUUCAUGGCAUUCAGGAAGUGGGCCCCCCUGAUGCUCAGCUCCUGAGGCUGGAUAACAUGCUGCUGGCCGAGGGCGUGUCCAGGCCUGAGAAGCAAGGGAGGGGAGCAUCGGCAGCAGCCAACGCAGCAACGCCAGGUGGCCGUCCAAACGACAGUGGCCUUGAGAACUCUGACUACAGGGCCAAGCUGUCCCAGAUCCGACAGAUGUACCACUCCGAGCUAGAGAAGUAUGAACAGGCCUGCCGUGAGUUCACCAUGCACGUCACCAACCUUCUCCAGGAGCAGAGCAGGAUCAGGCCCGUCUCGCCCGCGGAGAUAGAGCACAUGGUGGGGGUCAUCCACGGCAAGUUCCAGAGCAUCCAGAUGCAGCUGAAGCAGAGCACCUGUGAGGCUGUGAUGGCCCUGCGCGCGAGGUUCCUCGACGCCAGGCGUAAGCGGCAGAAUUUCAGCAAGCAAGCCACAGAAGUGCUGAAUGAAUACUUUUAUUCCCAUUUGAGGAACCCAUACCCCAGUGAAGAAGCCAAAGAGGAGCUGGCCAGGAGGGGUGGCAUCACGGUCUCCCAGGUCUCCAACUGGUUCGGCAACAAAAGAAUUCGGUAUAAAAAGAACAUGAGGAAGUUUCAAGAAGAGGCUACCAUCUACACAGCCAAGAUGGCAGUGGACGCCACCGAAGUCAGGGGCCCAGGGCACCAGGCCAGCCCCCCAUCGAUGUCCCACUCCAGGUUUCCGUUCCCACUGGAGAUGGUCCCCAUCAAGUCACACAGCCCCGCCGGCUGUGCAGGUGCCGUGGGGACAGAAGGUGCACCCCAGAAGGCUGGUCUCCCCACCCACACAGGCUGCAGGAGGGCUGGGAGCCAUGGGAGUCACGUUCAUGGCCUCCUCCCGACCGAGGGGCUGGCGAGUCCCACCUGCGGCAUCACUGCACCUCCCAGGGUGGGAACACUGGUCCUGACCCUCCAACCCCUGCAGGCUCCUCUGGCCCGUUUCCGCUGACCGGCCCCGGAGACGCACUUAUCCGCCUGCAGACGAUGGCCUGCGUCCAGCCCAGCCCCCAGGGAGGAGGCCUUCUGGCCCAGGCCAGGGGUGGCUGGCAGGUGAAGGAAAUGCCAACCGCUUCACCCGUUGGCAACCCCGGCAGCGUCACCUCAGAUGCAUCUAAUUAAGUGUUGGGACGAACAGAAAAGAGGACGGUGUGACCUGCCGUGGUUCCCUGGCCCUCGAGUUCCUUCAGAAAACCCAGAGCUGACAGCAGAGGGCUCUCCCUAAGCCGCCGGCCAGAGACACGGAUGGCAUCGUCUGCUUAUCAGCUGGGAUUUGAAACGGCUUGAGAUGCUGCUUGUUCUCCCAACCCUUGUCUUUAUAUUUAUACAUACAUAUAUAUAUAGUAAUUUAUGGUUAAGACUAUGAACUAUUUCUACAGGAAAUUCUGGUACCAAUUCUGCCAUUAAAAUUUUGAACUGAUUUUUAUUUUGCCACCAUUCACCCCAGAUUUGUUGCUGGCAGCGGCGGAUGACGCAAGCGCAGUUGUGCGAGCUGUGACCUUUUGCUCACUGGUCCUACCCGGUGCCAGCUCGCCCAGACACUGCCUCCCACCCUGACUUGUGUUGUGUUAUGAAAAUGCAGUUUCGAUUUAAGUCUGUUGUGAGCUCAGGGUUUUACCGGAAUUAGUUUGGCACUUUCUUUCUUCUGUUAAUACAAGUUAUACCAUUUUCAGUUGAAAUGUCAUUCGAGACAAUAAACUUCACAAGCGCU